AAAUAAAAAUUCUUUAAUUUCCAAUCUAACUUCUGAAGCAUAAAUUUUAUUUCAAAUUUUCAGCCAACUACGAACAUAUAUUUAUUUAUGGUAAAAACAUAUGGAACUUAUUUAAACCAUGUACAAUUUAAUUUGACCAUCCAAUCUUUCAAAAUUUUGAUUUGUACUACUUAACAUUUCAAUUUAAUUGAGUUGAGUUGGUCGAUUGCACGUUGUAAACAAAAAAUAAAUGCGCCGUUCAUCUUUAUAAGUUUGGUUAAUAUAUUUGAUACAAUUCUCACAACUAUAAGUUCAUUAAAGUAAAUAAUUAGCUUCAAUUUUAGAGUAAAAGUGCCAUUGAUUGAGUCAAAUCAAAUAAAUUGAAAGAUUAGAUAAUAAAAUUAAAAUUUUGAAAGUUUAGGUAGUCAAAAACUAAAUAGUCUAUAAUUUAGAUAAGUUUUAUAUAUUUUUAUUUUUAUUUAUAAU
rnacentral:lncRNA from 1 species